UACGGGGGGGGCAAGCGUUGUUCGGAAUUACUGGGCGUAAAGGGCUCGUAGGCGGCCAACUAAGUCAGACGUGAAAUCCCUCGGCUUAACCGGGGAACUGCGUCUGAUACUGGAUGGCUAGAGGUUGGGAGAGGGAUGCGGAAUUCCAGGUGUAGCGGUGAAAUGCGUAGAUAUCUGGAGGAACACCGGUGGCGAAGGCGGCGUUCUGGACUGUCUCUGACACUGAAGAACGAAAGCCAGGGGAGCAAACGGG
rnacentral:rRNA from 1 species